rnacentral:piRNA from 1 species
UCGGUUUCCCACAGCCUGGCAGAAAGCGA